CGGUUUCUUUGUCUGCACUGAGAGGUUUUCAAGGAGUUUGGCUUUAGCUAAUAAUAUACUUCACUGUGUUAUCAAGGUGUCAGUGCCGAGAACGAGGACUGGGAAAGUAUACCGUAAUAUUCCGUUUCGUGGUUGCUGUAAAAUGUCAGAUGAAUAGUGUAUGUCAUGUGGAAAGUUAUACAAUUGUAGCAUAUAAAAAAAAAAAAAAAAGAGCAAUGGAGUAAUGACAGAGUUCACGACGCAUAUAGAUUCUGUCACUCAUGCUACUACUUUGAUUUAUAUUUAGUCACUGUCUUCUCAGUAAUGAAGCUAAUGUUAUAUAUAUAGGAAGACGUAGUAUUCCAUAGAUUUCAAGAUAUCUCACAUUGUUAUCUUGUCUCUACUGUUUAUCUGUCUGUUAAUCUUUCUGUCCCUGUUCGCUUCUCUCUCUCUCUCUCUCUCUCUCUCUCUCUCUCUCUCUCUCUCUCUCUCUCUCUCUGGGAUGGUGAAUGGUAUCUACUUACGUAAAAACUCCCGCGCGUGUCACCCUGAGCGUGUCGCCUUUCACCUUCCUUGCGGGCGACACGUGCGGCGAGGUGCAGGUGUACUAAUGACGGCGGAAACUAUUUUGCGUCACUUUUUGGGGAACAAGGCUUUUCACUUCGCUGGCGUUGCUUUAGGAUGUUCAUAUUUCAUAAUUUUAUAGAAAGAGUUAGGUUAAUAUUUUUACAACCUCCUUUUUUCUGUCUCCUGUUCCGGUUGACGUAAGUUCAUUACUCCUACCUGCGUUUUGAUCUGUGUGUUGCCGUAACGAGCUCCACGAGAUUGCUAGGUGUGAUGUUAUUGUUGCGUUAUUCCGUGACUAGCCACUUGCGUCAUGCCAGCCACUUGUUCUUCGUUUGUUUUCAUACGCGCACGUUCUGUUCUUUCCUUUUUUUCGAACCUUUUUUUUUUCUAGUGUUCUCAUGGUCAUUUUGUAACUGUUGGUACUGUUCUCUUCGAUUACUGCUAUUGACAACGUUGGGAACUUUCUUGAUCUUUUUUUUUUAUAUAUAUAUAUUAUUAUUAUUUACAUUAAUUUCUUUUCUAGUUCUCUAGUAUAUUGUGUUCUUUCUCUUCCCCUUUCUAGCCUCUCUUUCCCUUCUUCCUCCACGUGUUCUUCUUCUAUAAACAACAUGUGAAUUUGUCUGCCCCUAAUAUAUUAAAAUUUUGUUUCGCUAGUAUCUUGCAUUCUUCCUUUUCUUUUUUCUUAGUCUCCCUCCUCCUUCUCCUCCUCCUCUUUCUUCUCUUUCCAGCAAUUCCACGUCAAAUGGGAUGAUCCUCUUCAAACAGGAGUACAAAACUGAUCUGGCACCAACAAGCAAUAGAGUAGCAUCCCCACGUGCGCCGGACACUUCACCGCCACCCAGCUGUCCCGGCCCGCCAACACACCACAACAGCCUUCCCUGCGACAGCCUCCAAAUUGCCCCCGGGAAGCAAAGGAGGAAACGUCCAGAGAGUGUAUUUAUUUUACGGAUUUGUCUCAAGAUGAUGAUGAAGAUGUCAUCCAUCUUCAUUUGAAUGUGGUGCAGCAGGAGAUGAGGACAGCUACUCCUGACUUCCAGCUGUGCCAGCGGAAGAUGGAGAGAACAUUGUCAUACAGGCAGCGAAGGAAGUAUAAUCCUGAGCUUUCUGUGGCAAAUGUUCUUGAGGACUUUCCAACACUACGCUUGAAAUUGAGGCCAAAAUGACAAAUGUGGGCACCCCAGGUGUGAUGUGAGAUAAGGUACAUGGAUCCUUCAUUCACGUAAUGAAAUUCUCCAAGCAAAGGUGUAAAAGUUAUCAUAAGUUUUACAGCCAAUACCUGGACAAUCUAUCCAGCACUCUGAAAGAAGAAAGGAAAGGUACAGCCUGGAAGAGCAACAGAAGCAUGUGUAUCUAAUUCACCUCAUGUACUGUGUGUAUAAAUGGUAAAGUUUGAUGUCUUCAGUAAUUGUGUAAGGUGGGGUAAAGAAUGUCAAAAUAUUAUUUCCAGGUCAUAAAUGGUGAUUAUGGGACAGACUGAGGGAGGGCUCAAAAGUUGUAUUAUGAGUGUUGAUGGUUAGGCUGACAGGUAGAUUAUAUGACUGAUCCCAGAUUUCUACUUUCACUAUAUGAUCAAGUCUGCAACCCCCACCCUGGUGACAGCAGGGAGCCGCUUCAACGAAAUGACCACCAACUUCAUUGGUGGAGGUGAGGCCCUUUUUCAUUGUUUUGGCUAUUUGCAGUUGACUGUCCAGAAGAAAAAAAAAAAUUCGAAAAAAAAAAUUAAAGGGAACCCAAAAGUGCCAGCAACGGUGAUGUCCUAGGCAAAAAAAAAAAAAAAAGGAAUUGCAUAAAAAUUGAAGAAUUGUCACAUUUUCUACUUUCUUUUUCAUUUAUUUAGGUAUUACAUUUUUGUUAAUUAGUUAUUCUUUUUAUUUAUUUAUCUAUUAUAUUUUGUUUAUUACUUCUGUCACUAUCAUAUUUCCUUUUGUGACCAUUGUGUGUGUGUGUGUGUGUGUGUGUGUGUGUGUGUGUGUGUGUGUGUGUGUGUGUGUGUAGUAGAAAGGGUAAAUUGGGUUCACAAGAUGGAAAAUCAGCAUAUAAUUUUACUCCAUAGAAAGGGUAAAUUGAGUACACAAGAGGUAAAUCAGCACAAUUUUCCCCCAUAGGAAGGAUAAAUUAGAUGCAUAAGGAGUAAAUCAACAUAUAAUUUUACCACAAGGCCUAAAUUAGCAUUUCAGUUUACCCUUCGUAAGAGGUAAAACAAGUACUAAAUUUACCUUUUUGAUAAAGGAUAAAUUAGUCUCAGUUUAGCCUUUUAUGCUGUAGGAUAAACUAUGUGUGAUUUACCUUUUAAAGGGCAAACUAUUUGAGACACUUGAUUUACCUUUUUCUUACCCCCAAUUACCCAUUUUUUCUAAGCGUGUGCGCCGCUGAACACAAGAAACCACGGGACAGACACACAAGGCAUCGGGGAAAGUGAAAGUUGAUGUGAAAGAAGAGAAGUAGAUGUGUAUUGUCUCCCUAAAUAUAAUGGGAUAAGGUUGAACUUCAAAACUAAUGGAGUUGUUUUCCUCAAAAGUAUAAUGAUUGCAGUUUCGACAUAUAGCCAUUUUUGUAUUCAGAUGCAGCAGAAAACUUUAUAGAAUGAAUAACAACUUUACUUUUUACUUAUAAAUGGCAAGGA